UCGUAGUCGAGAGGUAAGGACACUUGUCUCUCACCCUGGAGUCCCGGGUUCGAGCCCCAGCAGAGGAG